UGUUCCGUAACUUAGUUGGCUGAAGUGCUAGACUAACAAUAAGGAGUCGUGGGUUCAAAUCCCACCAAAACAA
rnacentral:tRNA from 1 species